rnacentral:rRNA from 1 species
UACGUAGGGUGCAAGCGUUGUCCGGAAUUAUUGGGCGUAAAGAGCGUGUAGGCGGCCCGAUUAGUCCGCUGUGAAAGUCCAGGGCUCAACCCUGGAAUGCCGGUGGAUACUGUCGGGCUAGAGUCCGGAAGGGGCGAGUGGAAUUCCUGGUGUAGCGGUGAAAUGCGUAGAUAUCAAGAGGAACACCUGAGGUGAAGACGGGUUGCUGGGCUGACACUGACGCUGAGGCGCGAAAGCCAGGGGAGCAAACGGG